CCUACGGGAGGCAGCAGUGAGGAAUAUUGGUCAAUGGGCGCGAGCCUGAACCAGCCAAGUCGCGUGAGGGAUGAAGGCUCUAUGGGUCGUAAACCUCUUUUGUCGGGGAACAAAGUGUGGGACGUGUGCUGUUUUGAGUGUACCUGAAGAAAAAGCAUCGGCUAACUCCGUGCCAGCAGCCGCGGUAAUACGGAGGAUGCGAGCGUUAUCCGGAUUUAUUGGGUUUAAAGGGUGCGUAGGCGGCCCGGAAAGUCAGCGGUAAAAGUCCGGGGCUCAACCCCGGCGAGCCGGUGAAACUGGCGGACUUGAGUGGGCGAGAAGUACGCGGAAUGCGCGGUGUAGCGGUGAAAUGCAUAGAUAGCACGCAGAACUCCGAUUGCGAAGGCAGCGUACCGGCGCCGGACUGACGCUGAGGCACGAAAGCGUGGGUAUCGAACAGGAUUAGAUACCCGAGUAGUC
rnacentral:rRNA from 1 species